UAAUAAGUGUUUUAUGGCACUUUUUAAAUCCAUAUCCACCUUGUGUGCAAUGUCGGUCGAUCUUCUUCAUGGAGAUCGACCAAACAUCAACCUUUAUUUUUAACUCUUUGUCUGAAAAAUAUUAUGAAUAAACAAUUCAAAAUA
rnacentral:misc_RNA from 1 species